rnacentral:rRNA from 1 species
UACGGAGGGUGCAAGCGUUAUCCGGAUUUAUUGGGUUUAAAGGGUGCGCAGGCGGACCUGCCAGUCAGUGGUGAAAUCCCGGGGCUCAACUCCGGAACUGCCAUUGAUACUACAGGUCUUGAAUACGGUUGAAGUGGGCGGAAUGUAGCAUGUAGCGGUGAAAUGCAUAGAUAUGCUACAGAACACCGAUCGCGAAGGCAGCUCACUAAGCCGAUAUUGACGCUCAUGCACGAAAGCGUGGGGAGCAAACAGG